AGCAUGGUACCGCCCCCUCAUUAGCAUAUCACCGGCCAACUGACGCCAGGUGCAAAAACUGCGCAUGCGCAGUACCGUUGUUCACCACUGGAGGGCGCCCUACAGGAACUCACUUCUCUCUGUGCCUGGCUCUGGAUGAGAUGUGACUGGCUGCUUUACCGUCCCGUUGUGACUUAUCUGCAGUGUUGGGGUGUAACCUGGAGCUGUAAAGGAUGGAGCUGCUGAUUAUCUCUCCAUCCAAGGCACACAGUUGUGAGUGCGUUGUCCAUCAUUAACUUACAAUGACUGUGCGCAGCUCGCCCAUACCUCCGUUCCCUCACCAUUCUAAAUUCAGGACCAGAGUUCAGGAGUGGAUGGAGCUACAAAAGCUGACCGAAGGACCCUGAAACCAGGUGACCCAGAUAAGGCCCAGUCACCAACACUAACCUCCUUGCUUAACCCCUUAUGACAGAAUGUGAUCGGUCAAUGCAACAGCCCACCUGGCUUCCCCCUCGCUUUGUGUUCCCCUAUAAAAAUGUUGCAUAAUCUGUCUUGGGGGACAUGGCUCAGAGUUUGAACUGGCUGCCGCCCCAUGCAUACAGAAAAUAAAGCUUUCAUUUCUAA